UACGGAGGGGGCUAGCGUUGUUCGGAAUUACUGGGCGUAAAGCGCACGUAGGCGGCUUUGCAAGUUAGAGGUGAAAGCCCGGGGCUCAACUCCGGAAUUGCCUUUAAAACUGCAUCGCUAGAAUUGUGGAGAGGUAAGUGGAAUUCCGAGUGUAGAGGUGAAAUGCGCAGAUAUCAGGAGGAACACCGGUGGCGAAGGCGGCUACCUGGCCCAACAUUGACACUGAGACCCGAAAGCGUGGGGAUCAAACAGG
rnacentral:rRNA from 1 species